UACGGGAGGCAGCAGUGGGGAAUAUUGCACAAUGGGCGCAAGCCUGAUGCAGCCAUGCCGCGUGUAUGAAGAAGGCCUUCGGGUUGUAAAGUACUUUCAGCAGUGAGGAAGGUGGGUAUGUUAAUAGCAUAUUCAUUUGACGUUAGCUGCAGAAGAAGCACCGGCUAAACUCCGUGCCAGCAGCCGCGGUAAUACGGAGGGUGCGAGCGUUAAUCGGAAUUACUGGGCGUAAAGCGCAUGCAGGUGGUUGUUAAGUCAGAUGUGAAAGCCCGGGGCUCAACCUCGGAAUUGCAUUUGAAACUGGCAAACUAGAGUACUGUAGAGGGGGUAGAAUUUCAGGUGUAGCGGUGAAAUGCGUAGAGAUCUGAAGGAAUACCGGUGGCGAAGGCGGCCCCCUGGACAGAUACUGACACUCAGAUGCGAAAGCGUGGGGAGCAAACAGGAUUAGAUACCCUGGUAG
rnacentral:rRNA from 1 species